CCUACGGGCAGCUGCAGUGGGGAAUAUUGGACAAUGGGCGAAAGCCUGAUCCAGCCAUGCCGCGUGUGUGAAGAAGGCCUUCGGGUUGUAAAGCACUUUCAGUGGGGAAGAAAGCCUUGGGGCUAAUACCCUCGAGGAAGGACAUCACCCACAGAAGAAGCACCGGCUAACUCCGUGCCAGCAGCCGCGGUAAUACGGAGGGUGCGAGCGUUAAUCGGAAUUACUGGGCGUAAAGCGCGCGUAGGCGGUCUGAUAAGCCGGUUGUGAAAGCCCCGGGCUCAACCUGGGAACGGCAUCCGGAACUGUCAGGCUAGAGUGCAGGAGAGGAAGGUAGAAUUCCCGGUGUAGCGGUGAAAUGCGUAGAGAUCGGGAGGAAUACCAGUGGCGAAGGCGGUCUUCUGGACUGACACUGACGCUGAGGUGCGAAAGCGUGGGUAGCAAACAGGAUUAGAUACCCUGGUAGUC
rnacentral:rRNA from 1 species